UACAGAGGGUGCGAGCGUUAAUCGGAAUUACUGGGCGUAAAGCGCGCGUAGACGGUUUUGUAAGUCAGAUGUGAAAUCCCUGGGCUCAACUGGGAACUGCAUUGAAACUGCAUGGCUAGAGUAUGGAAGAGGGAAGUGGAAUUUCCGGUGUAGCGGUGAAAUGCGUAGAUAUCGGAAGGAACACCAGUGGCGAAGGCGGGUCUCUGGACAGUUCCUGACACUGAGGCACGAAGGCCAGGGGAGCAAACGGG
rnacentral:rRNA from 1 species